AGCGGUCGGCUCCUCUCAAAUGAAUCAGCUUGCCAGUGUUUGGCGGCGCCACAGGUGUGAUAACUAUCUACGCUUGUGGUUUCCCGCCAGGUUUCCUUCAGUGAUGGAGGUUCGCUGGAGCUCAUAAAUGUCCCUCCCCAGUGAGGACAACUUCAUGAAUGUUUGAUCUCAAAUCAGGUAGGACUACCCGCUGAACUUAA
rnacentral:misc_RNA from 1 species